rnacentral:lncRNA from 1 species
AUGCUUGCUCAGCCAUGGCUACUCAUAUCUUGUCACUAACGUGGUGAUUAGUGAUGCAGGGCUUCGCUGGGAAGUCUGCCAGCGACAGAGGCGUGCUUCAUAGAUGUCUAUGUGACAAAAGAAUAACGGAACUUGUUCCUGUACAGAUACAGAUAUUGCCCCCAGAUGAAUAGUACAAGUUUACUGGUUGUUGUUCCAUAUCAUUUGUCUGGUCUUCCAUAACAUCUCAAUGAUUAGAGUAUGUAUCCAUUCUUUGCAUAUUAAUGGCAUCUUCACUUAUUAGGCGCUCUGGAGGGUACAGAUCAGAUUCCAUUUGCCCCCCAUAACAUUGCUUUCCUGCUUGUGUUAUCCAUGGAACUGUAAAUUACUGUUGUUUAUACAAUGUUUCUGAAUCUCCUUGGGUAUUGUAUUCCAUUUCUUCUUCUUUUGAGUGUUGAUUUGUCACUGAAUGUAGUCUUAUGAGAAACAAAGUGCUCGAGUUGUCCCACACAGGUUUGAGGCAAGUUGACGUUGAGAACAUAAGGGAAUGCACGACCAAACUGAAUUAACAUGAUUAUGUUCUGCUACCUAUGUCUAUUCUUUCUACUAUAUAGUAUUUCAACUGUGAAAUGUGCACCGCUCUCAUCCAUGAGAGACGAGUUUAAGGUUUUGGUCGUAUCAGUGAAAUUUGGUUGAGUUGUCGUUGUUGAUUCUUUGUUUGGUCUACUGUGAUUUUGUGAUUUUGGCUGAUGGGAACUGUUGGCAUUUACUCCCUCCAUUCCCAAAUACUCCCUCUGUUCGGAAUUAUAGAACUAAUUCCGAACGGAGGGAGUAUUUGUCUUUCUAGAGAUUUCAACAAGUGACUAUAUACGGAGCAAAAUGAGUGAAUCUACUCUCUAAAAUAUGUCUAUAUGUAUCCGUAUGUGGUAGUUCAUUUGAAAUCUCUAGAAAGACAAAUAUUUAGGAACGGAGAGAGUAUAAUGCAAAGCAGGGUAGUUUAGAGUAAGCUAAAUACACAUUGUGUAGACUCCAAAAACUGACCAGUCUUAAAAAUAAACGUGCAAACAUAUGGACAACUUUGGACACAAUUAUUAAGUGUCAUCCUUAUAUGUUGGGCGCUAUAGGAAAGGCGUCCGUGGUUGCUGGUUGCUCGACGAUGUCUUUCUUUCCACUUAUUUUGUGGGGGCCGUUUUGUGAGGAUGAGUCGCAUGUGCCUGACAGGUUAUAGGGGUAGUGUGUUGGGUCUUGUGUCCUCAUGAUAUGGGAGUAGUCUGCUUGCAUCAUGGGAUUGUGGCUUGGUUGUCUUUCCUGACCAAGUUCGUAACGGUGUUCCGUGAAUUAAUCGGGUAAAUUUCUUCUUCUUAAUUAAUGGAUGAGGCAAAAAUUUUGUCUUCGUUUCGAAAAAGAAUGUCCAAGUGCAUAACUGAAUGUUCACUAAAGCAUUGUCUUCAUUUUUGUGUGGGUUUGACUCCACGCCAUGGUUGAUCAUGUUCCAGAUACAUGUCCCUCUUACUAGGUCCUCGUAUUCAUGAAACUUGAGCAGUGUAAUUGUAGGGGUAGUGGAGCUAAUUGUAGUAGCAGUAGGGAUGUCCUCAUCAGUAUAAUUUUUUAUCUAUUUUAAAUGCUUAAUCUUGAUACCUGAAAACCAUAUAUGCAGACUUAUCUCAGAGUAUCUUUUGUAACGUCACAAUUCCAUUGUGUUCGAUAAAUAUUAUGUUUGAGUACAAAUUUGUAAUCAGAUUACAUUCUGCAUGCCUCAUUGAUUUUCACAGUGAUAAGCAGUGAUAAGCUUUAAAAAGAAUCGCAGAGGUUUACCAAGUAGAGCAUACUUACUUCAUACUAAAAUACACAAUGUUUUAGACAUGAAAACAAUAUAUCUUCAAAUUCAACUUUGACCAAUUUCUAUAUGAAUAUUGUUACUAAAAGCCUAAAUAAUUAUCAAAUGAAAAAUCAUGUUGAAUAUAACAUAAUUUUCAUUUGACCAUGCUGAAUAAUUCUCUUAUAUACCAAUAAUUAAAGCCACCACUCUUUAGAUUGUCAUCUCUUUUUGAACAAAAUCAAUAUGUACUUCCUAUUUUUUCACCCACCAUGCAUAAGGAAAAGAACUAAAUAUACAAGUAAGUUAAAGAAAAAUGAAUAACCAUAUCCAUCUUGAAUUGUUAUGAUAAAUAAACUUAAGCUACCUAACCUUUUUGGAAGCCUUUAAGUUUACGUGAAGACCAAAACAUAAUGGCUUCACCCUCCUUUUUGAGUGCACAAAAUGUUUUGAAAUGUAUCUUCUAAGAGCACCACAAAUUCGGAAGGUAUACAACUUGAAAGUGCGUUACGUCGACUAGAGGGGGGGUGAAUAGGCGAUUUUUAAGAAUUCUUCACUGAGGAAUUUCAGGGUGAGGAAAUUUCUAAACGAAGAACUACUUGCAGCAGAAUAAGUACUCAGGUAUAAGCAUAACAGAGCAACAACAUAGUCAUCAUGAUGAAAUGAAAGACAAACACAGAGUACAGAAAGCGUAAGCACAGGAUAAGCAGGAAGAAGACAAACAGACUGAAGAGAUAGGAUUGAGGAAUUAGAGAAAGUCUUCAGUCAAAGUCUUCAAACAGUAAUGAUCAGGUACAUCAACACAUGACUGAGGAAAUGAGAGGGUUGAGGAAAUAGAACCAAUAGGCUUGGUGAAGACAAUGAUUUGGUAGACCAGUUCCAACUGUUGUGACAGUUGUACGUCUGGUUGGAGCAGCUGAGUAUUUAAACUCGAGGACACACAGUCCCGGACACACAGUCCUCGUUGUAUUCUCCUUGAGCUAAGAUCACACAGACCUCGCCCAACAGUAGUGGUAAGUCUUCAUAGGUGACUUACAAACCUUCACAGACUUGGUCACUCGGCAAUCCACAAUUCCUCUUGGAUGCUCAGACCAUGACGCCUAACCGUCUGGAGGAUACACAGUCCUCAAAGGUAACAAGCGUCGGUUCCACACAGGAACAAUCUCUUCAGUAAUGCUCAAUCACUUUGGGGUUUGUAGGUUUGAGUUUGGGAUUUGGGUUUUCCUCACUUGAUGAUUUUCGCUCAAAGUCCUCGGAGGAUGGGAUGCUCUCAAAUGACAAGUGUCAGUUUCUCUCGGAGCAGCCAACCAGCUAGUGGUUGUAGGGGACGACUAUUUAUAGCCUAGGAGCCGCCCGACAUGAUAAGACAUAAAUGCCCUUGUCUGAUAUGACCGUUAGGUGGUAGGAUAUUUUGGGACAGCUGGCGCGCGGCACAACAACGGUCGGAUUUGAGGUUCGAAUUCCUCAGGGCUAUCAUGUUCCUCACUGUGUAGGCAAUCCGCACUGGCGAAUUCCCAACUCCUCAGUCAGAACAAAUUCCUCAGAGACCAGAAGAUCUUCGUCUCUGUCGCUGAAGAACUUGACUGAACUGAUAUGAGAUUUCCAAUGGCUUCACUCGAAGGAUUGGGUAGGUGUAGGAUUUUGAGAUGAGCAUCACUUGGAAAUAUAUUUCCUUAGUAUUACCUCGACCCCCUUUAACAAUACGGUGUUUCCUAUGACUCUAGAAGAAGAAAAAUGAAACUACGAAAACAAAAGUCUUCACGCUUCAGAUUCCUCGCAUGAAUAUCGAAGUCUUCAAGGUCACACCAAUUUCUUCACUUUCCAAGUCUUCAGGAAAACCAAAGUCUUCAGCCGAAGACAUUCAUUUUUAGGGGUCAACUUUCACUGUAAAUAUCAAACUCCUCAUUGACUUAUAGAGCCUGUGUAUACUCACAAACAUAUUAGUCCCUUAACCUAUAAGUCUUCAAUACACCAAAAUCACUAAGGGGCACUAGAUGCACUUACAAUCUCCCCCUUUUUGGUGAUUGAUGACAAUAUAGGUUAAGUUUUCAAAGGGGAUAAACAUAUGAAUUGAAAGUACUAAAUAUUAAGGAAUUUGAUUGCAAGAUAUAGAAGAACUCCCCCUGAAGAUGUGCAUAGUGAGGAAUUUGCUUUUGAAGCAAUGCACGUUUGAAGAGUAGAAUCAUGGAGAACUCCCCCUAUAUCUUAUAAUUCAUACACGCAUUUAACAUAUAGUUAUGAAGAAUUUGAAAUGCAUGAUGAAAUAUGGUGACAGAUGUGAUUCAGCAUGCGUGCAUAAUAUUAAUGAGGAAAUAGCAUGCAGGAAAACAGAGCAAAAGUAUCAGGUCACCAUCGGACUUAAGUUUACAACUCAAUCAACAAAAGCUUCAGAAGAGCGAGAGUUGCAACUUAAUAAAAAACACCCAUAUAUAUAGACCCGUUUGAAGACUAACUAAAAUUUCUCCCCCUUUGUCAUAAAAUGACCAAAAGGGACGAAAAGUGAGAACUAAUGCCCCUGAAGAAUUUCUUCAUGAAGUCGAUGGAGGAGCGUCAGCGUUGUUGGGGUCGUUUGUUGGAGAAGGGCCUGUCACAGUGUCGUCCAGAUCUUCAUUUUCAUCAGUAUCACGGGAUGAGGAAUAUGAACUAGGUACCAGAGAAGGAACUGCAACUUUCUUGAAUUUCUUCGGGGGAGGCUUAGCCCAGCCGAAGUCCUGCUUGAAGCCCAUCUGCUUGAGAUCCUCGUCACCGUAAAGGUGAGACAAUAUAGCCUAGGUGCGAUCAAACACUUCAUUAAGGUAGUAAUGGUUCUUCUACACUGAAUUAUAUGUGGCAGUCAUGUUAUGAAGAAUUGAACCAAACUGAUGUUUUACCAUUUGUGAUUGCGAUCCAUCUUUUGAUGAAGACUGAGGAGAAGCUCACGAUCAGUCAUCACCCUUGGAGUUGUUGCCUGAGGACUUUGCUUGGAUGCAUUAGCGGCAGAAUCAUGAGUAGCAGAGUCAUCAUUGGUGGAGUAUGAAGCAGCUUUGCGAAACUAUCCAUCCAAUGGUCGAAUGCCCUCAUCAAUAACAACAGUGGCCUUACCCUUUUCAUCAGUUGAGGAAAAUGUCCGUUUGAGGACUUCAAUUGGCGGCAAGUAGCUGCCAUGGUUGAGUGUAUCAGCUUUGUAGUUGAGUGAAGACCUUGAUCCGAGGAAUUUCAUAAUCCAGGGAGCGUAAGGCUUCAACUCAAAUGGGGACAUUGCAAUGUUUGCCAAAGUCCUCAUGAAGAAAUCAUGAUAGUUCACGGGAAUACCGUGCAUGAUGUUGAAAAGCAGAUUCUUCAUGAUGCCAACGACUUCUUCAUCAUUCGAGUCAUGGCCUUUGAUUGGACUCAAUGUCUUCGUCAGAAUGCGAUAGACUGUUCUUGGCACAUAUUGCAAUUCCUUCACAAGGAAUUUGGUCCUUGAGGCUUGUCCAGGCUUCAAUGGCUUCAUCAGAACUUGCAUGAAAUGAUCUGACAGCUCAGUUUCAGAAUAGAUGAGACGUGCACCUUCCAGGGAAGGACUGACAGGCAUGGCACGAAGCAAUUCAGUGGCCGGUGCCUUAUAGUGUGUGUUCUCUGUCAUCCAGUCCAACACCCAUGAGUUCACAUCUUCAGCAUUGCAUGUGAUGUGCAGCGUCGCAUAGAAUUAAAGAAUGAGUUCUUCAUUCCAAUCGCAUAUGUCAGUGCAGAAAUUGAGCAAGCCAGCAUCAUGAAUGGCAGCGAGGACUGGCGCGAAGCAAGGCAGUGAUUCCAUAUCCACGUGAGGAAUAUGCUCAUGGUCGAAGACUUUUUCCUUGUUGAACAACACUGAAGAAUAGAAAUUUGCUUGACUAGCUGUCCAGAAGCGCUUCCUCCUCAAGCGAGCAGAAUCAUAGGGAUUGUAGUCCGUGAAGAAUACAUGCUCAUUGAAGAAUGCAUCAGCCUUGAACUUCGGAGUUUUGGAGAAUGGAUUCUUCGGCUGAGGCUGAGGAGUGUCAGUGAUCUGAAGAAUAACUUCUGGAAUGUCAAUUUCUGGAGCCGCAGGCUGAGGAAUAUCUUCUGCUUCAGUAGCAGCCCGGGCUUCCAUUUCUUCAGCAGCAUUUUCAUCAGCAUUAGUGGCUGGAAUCUCUUCAUGAAUGGAAGGGGUGACAUGAAUUUCAUUAGAGCCCAUCUGAACUUCUGUUGGUGCUGGGGACUGAGGAAUUUGUUGUACUGGUAUGAACAGAGGAGAGUUGGGGUGUUGACUAUCCCAAAAAUCAUCGUUCAUUACUGGAGUGGUGCAGCCAAUGUCCACAUCCUCAUCCACUUCCAUUUCUUCAACACCGGCCUCUUCAGCUGUGAACUGAGGUGUUGGCGAUGAUACCUGAGGAGUUGAAGUAAAAGUCUCAACUUCAAUUUUUUCAUCCAUCUGCUUUGUGGAAGCAGCAGAGGGAUCUUCUUCAGCAGAUUCUUCAGGAAUCUGAUAUUCUUCACCAUGAGGAACAAGUUCCUUUGAUGGCAUGCUUGCAAGAGGGACAACAUCAAUGGGAUUGUCCAUUGAACUUGUCAAAAUCUUCGCCUUCUUGGGGGCCGAAGAUUCUGAGGCAGCUGAUGCCUUCCUCUUCUUCAGAGCAGCUCACUCCGCAACUUUGGUUUUCUUCACUUCCAGAGCAGAAGGAAGAACUGGGCUUGGUGUUGGUGCAGACGGAGCAGUGGGAGUUGGAUCAAUUUUAUCAGGCCCAACUGAUGCAGUUGGCCUGUCAUAAGCAAUUUCUUCAGGCGCAACAACAGAGUCUUCAGCUGACCUGGCAGGUUCUUUAGGCGCAAUACUAGUGGUUGCCCUGGCAGUUUCUUCAGAGGCUGGAAUUUCUUCAGCAGCCCUGGUGCUUGCAGUUUCAUCAGCAGCCUGAUUUUAAUCAGCUAUGCUAGCAAUUCCUUCAGUGGCUUGAGCAGAUGCUUCAGCCUGAGCGAUUUCAAUGUGCACAGGAGUAGCACCACUUGAAGUGAAUUUCUUUGUCAGCUUGACGAAUCUGACUUUGGCACUCUGCCAUUUAGCCUUGUAGGCGUCAAAUUCAUUGCUGAGCUUUUUGAUGUCAGCUUGCAGUGCAAUGAGCUACUCAGGCGAAGGACUAAGGACAUUGUCCUUUAGAUAGCGCUGCUUGAUAACCCACAAGUGUAGGGGAUCGCAACAGCUUUCGAGGGUGAAGUACAACCCAAAUUUAUUUAUUCGACACAAGGGGAGCCAAAGAAUAUUCUUGAGUAUUAGCAGUUGAGUUGUCAAUUCAACCACACCUGGAUAACUUAGUAUCUGCAGCAAAGUAUUUAGUAGCAAGAGUGGUAUGAUAAUAAUGGUAACAGUAGCAACAAAAAAGGUAAAUGUUUUUGGGUUUUUGUAGUAGUUGUAAUAGUAGCAACGGAAAAGUAAAUAAUCGAAGAACAAUAUAUGAAAAGCUCGUAGGCAAUGGAUCAGUGAUGGAUAAUUAUGCCGGAUGUGAUUCCUCAUGCAAUAGUUAUAACAUAGGGUGAUAUAGAACUAGCUCCAAUUCAUCAAUGUAAUGUAGGCACGUAUUCUGUAAAUAGUCACACGUGCUUAUGGAAAAGAACUUGCAUGACAUCUUUUGUCCUACCCUCCCGUGGCAGCGGAGUCCUAGUGGAAACUAAGGGAUAUUAAGGCCUCCUUUUAAUAGAGAACUAGACCAAAGCAUUAACACAUAGUGAAUACAUGAACUCCUCAAACUACGGUCAUCACCGAGAAGUAUCCCGAUUAUUGUCACUUCGGGGUUGUCGGAUCAUAACACAUAAUAGGUGACUAUAGACUUGCAAGAUAGGAUCAAGAACACACAUAUAUUCAUGAAAACAUAAUAGGUUUAGAUCUGAAAUCAUGGCACUCGGGCCCUAGUGACAAGCAUUAAGCAUAGCAAAGUCAUAACAACAUCAAUCUCAGAACAUAGUGGAUACUAGGGAUCAAACCCUAACAAAUCUAACUUGAUUACAUGGUAAAUCUCAUCCAACCCAUCACCGUCUAGCAAGCCUAUGAUGGAAUUACUCACGCACGGCGGCGAGCAUCAUGAAAUUGGUGAUGGAGGAUGGUUGAUGAUGACGACGGCGACGAAUCCCCCUCUCCAGAGCCCCGAACGGACUCCAGAUCAGCCCUCUCGAGAGAGAUUAGGGCUUGGCGGCGGCUCCGUGUCGUGAAACGCGAUGAAACUUUCUCUCUGAUUUUUUUCUUCCCGAGACGGUAUAUAUGGAGUUGGAGUUGAGGUCGGAGGAGGUCCGAGGGGCCCAUGAGAUAGGAGGGCGUGCCCCUAGGGGGGGCGCCCCCCUGUCUCGUGGACAGCCCGUGGGCCCCCUGGCCUUGAUUCUUUCGCCAAAAAUUCUUAUUUAUUCUGAAAAGUGCCUCCGUGGAUUUCCAGGACAUUUCGAGAACUUUUCUUUUCUACACAUAAAACAACAUCAUGGUAGUUCUGUUGAAAACAGCGUGAGUCCGGGUUAGUUUCAUUGAAAUCAUGCAAGUUAGAGUCCAAAACAAGGGCAAAAGUGUUUGGAAAAGUAGAUACGUUGGAGACGUAUCAACUCCUCCAAUCUUAAAUUUUUGCUUGUCCUCAAGCAAUUCAGUUGACAAACUGAAAGUGAUAAAGAAAAACUUUUACAAACUCUGUUUGCUCUUGUUGUUGUAAACAUGAAAAGCCAGCAUUGAAGUUUCAGCAAAUAUUAUGAACUAACCAUACUCACAAUAACACAUAGGUCCCACAAUUACUCAUAUCAAUAGCAUAAUCAGCUAGUGGGUCAUAAUAAUAAAACUCGGAUGACAACACUUCCUCAAAAUAAUCAUAACAUGAUAUAACAAAAUGGUAUCUCGCUAGCCCUUUCUGAGACCGCAAAACAUAAAUGCAAAGCACCUUUAAAGAUCAAGGACCGACUAAACAUUGUAAUUCAUGGUAAAAGAGAUCCAGUCAAGUCAUACCUAAUAUAAACCAGUAAUAAUGAAUGCAAAUGACAGUGUGCUCUCCAGCGAGUGCUUUUUAAUAAUAAGGAUAAUGACUCAACAUAAAAGUAAAUAGAUAGGCCUUUCGCAGAGGGAAGCAGGGAUUUGUAGAGGUGCCAGAGCUCGAUUUUAAAAUAAAGAUUGAAUAACAUUUUGAGCGGCAUACUUUCGCUGUCAACGCAACAACUAUGAGAUGGUUGUAUCUUCCAUACUACAUGCAUAUAGGCAGUUCCCAAACAUAAUGGUAAAGGUUUAUACCCCCCAACCACCAACAAGCAUCAAUCCAUGGCUUGCUCGAAACAACGAGUGCCUCCAACAUACAACAGCCCUGGGGGAGUUUUGUUUAAUUAUUUUGAUUUGCUUUAAUCUUUUUGGAUCAUGGGACUGGGCAUCCCGGUUACCGGCCCUUUAUCGUGAAUGAGGAGCGGAGUCCACUCCUCUGAGAAUAACCCACCUAGCAUGGAAGAUAUAGGCAGCCCUAGUUGAAACAUGAGCUACUCGAGCAUACAAAACAGAAUUUCAUUUGAAGGUUUGGAGUUUGGCACAUACAAAUUUACUUGGAACGGCAAGUAGAUACCGCAUAUAGGAAGGUAUAGUGGACUUAUAUGGAACAACUUUGGGGUUUAAGGAGUUUGGAUGCACAAGCAGUAUUCCCGCUUAGUACAGGUGAAGGCUAGCAAAAGACUGGGAAGCGACCAACUGAGAGAGCGACAACAGUCGUAAGCAUGCAUUAAAAUUAAUUCACACCGGAUACAAGCAUGAGUAGGAUAUAAUCCACCAUGAACAUAAAUAUCAUGAAGGCUAUGUUGAUUUGAUUCAACUACAUGCGUGAACAUGUGCCAAGUCGAGUCACUCAAUUCAUUCAAAGGAGGAUACCAUCCCAUCAUAUCACAUCAUAAUCAUUCUAAUAGCAUGUUGGCAUGCAAGGUAAACCAUUAUAACUCAUAGCUAAUCAAGCAUGGCCCAAGCGACUAUAAUCUCUAAGUGUCAUUGCAAAUAUUUUUAUUUCAUAAUAGCUGACUCAGGAACGAUGAAUCAUCAUAUUUACAAAAACAAGAGAGGUCGAGUUCAUACUAGCUUUUCUCAUCCCAAUAAGUCCGUCAUAUAUCGUCAUUAUUGCCUUUCACUCGCACGACCGAACGAAGUGUAUAAUAAUAGGAGUGCACGUGCAUUAGACUAAGCUAGAAUCUGCAAGCAUUCAACUCAAGAGGGAAGACAAGUAAUAUGGGCUCUAAAUAUAAAUAAUCAACCAUGCAUAUGAGAGCCACAAAACAUUUUCAAUAUGGUCUUCUCGACCCCCAGAAGAAAGAAAAUAAAAUAAAACUAUUUACACGGGAAAGCUCCCAACAAGUAAAAGAAGAACGAGAAAUCUUUUUGGGUUUUCAUUUUAAUUUCUACUACAAGCAAGGAAAUUAAACUAACUAAUUUUUUUUGUUUUUUCUUAAGGUUUGUCAAACACACAAGAAGAAAACUAGAAAAAUAGAUUUAAACUAACAUGGAUAAUACAAUGAAAGAGUAUGAGCACCGACGACUAGUGUGUGAACAUGAAUGUAAAGUCGGUGAGAAAUAUGUACUCCCCCAAGCUUAGGCUUUUGGCCUAAGUUGGUUUAAUACCAAGGACUGCCUGGCUGAUAUCCAUAAGUGAAACUGGGAUUGUAAUGAGAUGCAGAGGCAACGGCCUCCUGGGCAGCAGCAUGUUGGCGAGCUGCCUCCAUUCCCCUCUCAUAUUCAGUGGCUUCUUCCCUGGUGAUAACAUAUCCUCCUCUUGCCUGAUAAUCAAAAAGGUAGGGAGCAGGAAGAGUGACAGGGACGACGUUGCGUCUAUCAUUGAUUAGUCGAUAAUGGAGGAAUUGUUCAUUCCUCUCAAGAAAUUUAUGAUCAAACAUAGCUUCUUUAUCUAAAUAAACAGGAGGUACAAUCAUAUCCCCCUCUCGUGGAGCUAUAUUAAGAAAAUUUGCCACACGGGUUGCAUAAAUUCCUCCAAAGAAAUUUUCCUUUUUACUAUUAUUAUGCAACCUACGUGCAACAAUUGCCCCCAAGUUAUAACCUCUGUAACCAGACACAACACUCUUGUGGACACAAAGGUCAGGAGCACACAAGUGACUUACUUCGUCCUUACCGUUAAUGCAUUUAACAAUAAAGAGAGCAAAGUAAUGUAUAGCAGGAAAAUGAAUGCUCCCUAUGGUAGCUUGUGCUACGUCCCUAGAUUCUCCCACAGUAAUACUAGCAAGAAAAUCUCUAAAUUCAGAUUUGCGAGGAUCAUUGAUAUUACCCCACUGAGGGAGUUUGCAAGUGAUACGUCUCCGUCGUAUCUACUUUUCCAAACACUUUUGCCCUUGUUUUGGACUCUAACUUGUAUGAUUUGAAUGGAACUAACCCGGACUGACGCUGUUUUCAGUAGAACUGCCAUGGUGUUGUUUUUGUGCAGGAAAUAAAGAUUCUCGGAACGACCUGAAACUCCACGGAAUAUCUUAGAAUAAAUAAUUAAAAAUCCUCGCAAAAGAUGAAGACCAGGGGGCCCACACCCUGUCCACGAGGGUGGGGGGCGCGCCCCCCCUGGGCGCGCCCCCCUACCUCGUGGGCCCCCUGGUGGCCCUCCGACGCCAACUCCAACUCUAUAUACUGGCUUUCGGGGAGAAAAAAAUCAAGGAGAAGAAAUCAUCGCGUUUUACGAUACGGAGCCGCCGCCAAAGCCCUAAUCUCUCUCGGGAGGGCUGAUCUGGAGUCCGUUCGGGGCUCCGGAGAGGGGAAUUCGUCGCCGUCGUCAUCCUCAACCAUCCUCCAUCACCAAUUUCAGGAUGCUCACUGCCGUGCGUGAGUAAUUCCAUCGUAGGCUUGUUGGACGGUGAUGGGUUGGAUGAGAUUUAUCAUGUAAUCGAGUUAGUUUUGUUAGGGUUUGAUCCCUAGUAUCCACUAUGUUCUGAGAUUGAUGUUGCUAUGACUUUGCUAUGCUUAAUGCUUGUCACUAGGGCCCGAGUGCCAUGAUUUCAGAUCUGAACCUAUUAUGUUUUCAUGAAUAUAUGUGAGUUCUUGAUCCUAUCUUGCAAGUCUAUAGUCACCUACUAUGUGUUAUGAUCCGGCAACCCCGAAGUGACAAUAAUCGGAACCACUCCCGGUGAUGACCAUAGUUUGAGGAGUUCAUGUAUUCACUAUGUGCUAAUGCUUUGUUCCGGUUCUCUAUUAAAAGGAGGCCUUAAUAUCCCUUAGUUUCCAAUAGGACCCCGCUGCCACGGGAGGGUAGGACAAAAGAUGUCAUGGAAGUUCUUUUCCAUAAGCACAUAUGACUAUAUUCGGAAUACAUGCCUACAUUACAUUGAUGAACUGGAGCUAGUUCUGUAUCACCCUAUGUUAUGACUGUUACAUGAUGAACCACAUCCGGCAUAAUUAUCCAUCAUUGAUCCGGUGCCUACGAGUUUUCCAUAUACUGGUUUACGCUCAUUUACUUUUCCGUUGCUACUGUUACAAUCACUAAAAAAUACCAAAAACAUUACUUUUGUUGUCUUUACUUUUUUACCAUUACCACCACUACCAUAUUACUUUGCUACUAAAAACCUUUCUGCAGAUACUAAGUUUCCAGGUGUGGUUGAAUUGACAACUCAGCUGCUAAUACUUGAGAAUAUUCUUUGGCUCCCCUUGUGUCGAAUCAACAAAUUUGGGUUGAAUACUCUACCCUCGAAAACUGUUGCGAUCCCCUAUACUUGUGGGUUAUCAAGACCUUUUUCUGGCGCCGUUGCCGGGGAGCAUAGCUCUAUUCUUUGAGUCACUUGGGAUUUAUAUCUGCUGGACACUAUGAAGAACUUGAAAGACGCUAAGACCACGAUUUUACCCUCAACUACGAGGGGAGGUAAGGAACUGCCAUCUAGCUCUGCACUAGAUUCUCCUUCUGUUAUAAGUAAGCUUGCGACACCUAAACCUGCUACUGCUAUGAAUUCUGAUAUGUCGCAUGUUAUUGAUGAUGCCACUUCUGCUAUGCAUGAUACUUAUGAUGAAACUACUUCCAUGCUUGAUACUACUGUGCCACUUGGUGAAUAUCUUGAUGAGCAAAUUGCUAGGUCUAGAGAAAGAGAAAUUAUUGAACCUGAACACGAUGAUGUUAGUGACGAUGAACCUAUUCCUGCUAUUCCUGAGGGUUGUCUUUUUUAUGCUGAAUCUUCUGCCACUAUUUUUGCUUGCCAGGAUAGAUAUGAACUUAAGAGGUUGCUAAUUAAAUGGAGUAAAGAAUCUCUUAGAGAUAGAAUGAGACCCAACCCUGCUUUUGCUACUUCACCUAUUUGUGUUCCCGAUAAGGAUUAUUAUGAUUUUUCUGUUGAUCCAAAUAUAAUUACUUUGGUUGAAUCCGAUCCUUUCUAUGGUCAUGAAUCUGAAACUGUUGUGGCACAUCUUACUAAUAAUGAGAGAUCGCGCUACCUUUAUUUACUUAAGAUAUUUCCGUUCUCAUUAAAGGGUGAUGCUAAGAUAUGGUUUAAUUCUCUUGAUCCUGGUUGUGUGCAAAGUCCCCAGGAUAUGAUUUAUUACUUCUCUGCUAAAUAUUUCCCUACUCAUAAGAAACAAGCUGCUUUGAGGGAAAUAUACAAUUUUGUGCAAGUUGAAGAAGAGAGUCUCCCACAAGCUUGGGGGAGGCUUCUCAAGUUACUUAAUGCUUUGCCUGAUCAUCCUCUUAAGAAACCUAAAAUAUUUGAUAUCUUUUAUAAUGGACUAACUGAUGCUUCCAGAGAUUACCUGGAUAGUUGCGUUGGUUCUCUUUUCAGGGAAAGAACACCGGAUGACGUUGAAAUUCUAUUGAAUAAUAUGUUGGCUAAUGAAAAUAAUUGGGCACCUCCCGAGUCAGCUCCUGAGCCAACUCCUGAGCCAAUUAUUGAGCCUAUUCCUAAAUCAACCCCGAAGAAGAGAGGUGUUUUAUUUCUCAGUCCUGAAGAUAUGCAAGAGGCAAAGAAAUCUAUGAAAGAAAAAGGUAUUAAAACUGAAGAUGUUAAGAAUUUACCUUCUAUUGAAGAAAUACAUGGUCUUAAUUUACCGCCUGUUGAAGAAGUAUAUGAUCUCAAUUACUUAUUUAAUGAAGAACCUCCCGACAUCCCGACACAGGUAGUAAAGGUAAAUUCUCUCUAUCGAUAUGAUAAAGCUAAAGUCCCUCCUACUAAAAUUGCUAGUCAGUGCUUGGAUGAGUUUGAUAACUUUAUGUUUAAGCAAGAUGACUUUAAUGCUUAUUUUGGUAGACAAUUAAAACAAGAUGCUUAUAUGAUUAAACGCUUGGGUGAUUAUAUGGCUGAUAUUAGAGGUGAACUUAAACUUGUUAGCAAACAUGCUUCUAUGGUUACCACUCAAGUAGAACAAGUACUUAAAGCUCAAAAAGAGGCGCUUGAUGAAAUGAAUAGUAAGAAAAAUGAUUAUGCUGUUAGAGUGGCUACUAGAACCGGUAGAAUGACUCAGGGACCUUUGUAUCCUGAAGGCCACCCUAAGAGAAUCGAGUAAGAUUCUCAGAGAAAUGAUAUUGAUGUACCUAGUUCUUCAAGAAAGAAGAAAAAGAAAAAUGAUAGGACUUUGCAAACUUCUAGCGAACCUAAUGCUGAGCCACCUGAAAAUCCAAAUGAUAUUUCUAUUUCUGAUGCUGAAACACAAUCAGGUGACGAACAUGAACCUAGUGAUAAUGUUAAUGAUAAUGUUCAUGAUGAUGCUCAACCUAGUAAUGAUAAUGAUGUAGAAGCUGAACCUGCUGUUGAUCUUGAUAACCCAUAAUCAAGGAGUCAACGCUAUGAUAAAAGAGACUUCGUUGCUAGGAAACAUGGUAAAGAAAGGGAACCAUGGGUUCAGAAACCCAUGCCUUUUCCUCUGAAACCAUCCAAGGAAAAGGAUGAUGAGGACUUUGAGCGCUUUGCUGAAAUGAUUAGACCCAUCUUUUUGCGUAUGCGAUUAAUUGAUGUGCUCAAAACAAAUCCUUAUUCUAAGUAUAUGAAGGAUAUUAUUACUAAUAAAAGAAAGAUACCUGAAGCUGAAAUUUCCACCAUGCUUGCUAAUUAUACUUUUAAGGGUGGAGUACCAAAGAAACUUGGAGAUCUCGGAGUACCUACUAUACCAUGCUCCAUUAAGAGAAAUUAUGUUAAAACUGCUUUAUGUGAUCUUGGAGCCGGUGUUAGUGUCAUGCCUCUCUCUUUAUAUCGUAGACUUGACUUGAAUAAGUUGACACCUACUGAAAUAUCUUUGCAAAUGGAUGAUAAAUCAACUGCUAUACCUGUCGAUAUUUGUGAGGAUGUGCCUGUUGUGGUUGCAAACGUUACUAUUUUAACGGACUUUGUUAUUCUUGAUAUUCCUGUGGAUGAUAGUAUGUCUAUUAUUCUUGGAAGACCUUUCCUUAAUACUGUAGGGGCUGUUAUUGAUUGCAACAAAGGCAAUGUCACUUUUCAUGUUAAUGGCAAUGAGCACACGGUACAUUUUCCGAGGAAACAACCUCAAGUUUAUGGUAUCAACUCUAUUGAAAAAGUUCCAUCGAUUAUGUUUGGAGGUUUUGAAUUUCCUCUCCCUACUGUCAAGAAAAAGUAUGAUAUACUCAUUGUUGGGGAUUUUCAUAUCCCCGUUGAGGUAACUUAGUGCUAUUAUUUCUUCGGUUCCAUGUUAAUCGGAAUGAGCUCGUUAAUAAGACUUGAUCAACCUUGUUAGUGGAUUCAUUUUGAUGAUCACGAGAAGGAUGAAACUAGAAGCACAACCUUCUGUACCCUCUUUAUAUUUUCUGUUAUUUAGUAGAAAUAAAGUAAAAUAGUAUGUUUAUGUCUGUCUCCUGACUUAUCCGCUCAAUAUAAAAAUAUCCCGAAAAUAAAAGUCCUCGGAAUGCCAUGACAAUUUAAUAUGAUUUUUUCAGGAAUAUUUAAGAAUUUACUGCGCAAAAAUCACUGCGGAGGGAGCUUCCACCUGGCCACGAGGGUGGAGGGCGCGCCCUACCCCCCUGGGCGCGCCCCCUGCCUCGUGGGCCCAUGGUGGCCCUCCUCCACUUAUUCCUGCACCCAUCUUCUUCCUCUGUCUCACACAAACACGAAAAACCAACUCAAGCACGAGUUCCAGCCCCCGUUGUUGUGAUUUUCGAUCUCCUUGCUCAAAGCACCUCUCGCAAAACUGCUUGGGGAGAUUGUUCCUUGGUAUGUGACUCCUCCAUUGGUCCAAUUAGUUUUUGUUCUAGUGUUUUAUUCAUUGCAAAUUUGUGCUGCAUAGGUGACCAUGUUCUUGAGCUUGCAUGUCAAAUUUAUAUGGUUCCAAGUAGUUCCAAUGCUUUAUAUAGGCUCUAGGCACUUGUAGGAGUUGUUGCUAUCAAUUUUAUUGAAGUUGGUUCACUUUUAUUUGAAGUUACUAAAAAUUUCAGAUUGUUUCAGAAAUAAUGAAGAUACUUUUGAGGGGCUCGCCGAGCCGAAACUCUAAGGAAAAACAAAAGGAAGAAGAGGAGAAAGCCCAAAUUUAAUUUACCUCGCACCGCGGAGGUCCGGCCUUGUGAAUGGCCUUCCGAUUACUUCUUGAGGAGAGCUGGGAUUUAUGAAGAUUUCUAUUUAUUGAUUGAGAAUGCUGGCCUCACCAACUUCCUCCACGACCAACGUCAUCAGUAUCUCUUACUCACAAAUACUUUUGUGCAAAACUUCUACUUUUUCCCUAAGAAAUCACCUCCAACAGUAGAGUUUCAUUUAUAUGACGUUGUUAAAAAGAUGACAUUAGCAGAAUUCUGCGAGGUUUGCAGAAUACCCUUUGAGGGCACCUUAGAUGAACCCCACCGUAACGAAGUAGAAGCUUUUGUUAACACUAUCACGGUGGGAGAAACCAGGAAGGUUUCUGAUGCAAGGAUCACUAGCAUACAUUAUCCUGUUUUACGCUACUUCCUUAUUUGCUAGUCGUUCCUUGAUUGGACGCGAGAACUGUGGGAACCUUAGUAUUCCUGAUAUUAUUAUUUUGCUCCAUGGUUUAUACUGCAAUAACUCUGUCAGUAUGGGUGGAAUUGUUGCUAGACGAUUAAGCCUGAACCGUACCAAGGGCCCCAUCUUUGGAGGCAUUUAUGCUUCACGCCUAGCUAAACAUUUUGAAAUACCUAUUAGGCAUGAGGAGAAAGAGGAAACAUCGCUGCCUCGUGCUUAUUUAGAUUAUAGGAGUAUGAUAGCGCAUGAUUUUCUUGUUAAGAGUCGCGAUGGGGAGCUCAAAUAUAAAUUAUACUUUGAUAAACAUCACCCUGAGACUAUUACCUUGCCUGCUCCUUCUUUAUUUAACUUGUUUGCAGAACCUCACAUCAUUUUGUGGUCGGCUGUUCAGGCCUAUCGGAACCCUGCACCAUCCCCGGAACCGGAGCCACAAGAUGAACCUCCACAACUAUCUGUUUAUUCUUGGGAUCCAGAGGAGGUUGCCAGCCAGUGGCAGCCGGAGUCUUCUGCAUCACAGUAUGACCCCAGUUUCACCUACGGGUAUCCGCCAGGCCAUCCCUAGCAAUAGACCAACUUAGGUCAAAAGCCUAAGCUUGUGGGAGUACAUAUUUCCCACCGACAUUACAUUCAUGUUCACACACACUCAUUGCUAGAUGUCGGUGUUCAUAUUCUUUCACUGUAAUAUCCAUACUAGAUUAUUUUCUUUUUCCUGCUUUCUUUUUGUGUGUUUAAUAAACCUUAAGAAAAACAAAAAAAA